UUAUUAGGUCUUUCCACUUUUCCAUGGAAAGACCUAUUGGAUUUCUUCUGAUUAUUAUUUUUUUUUUCUUCCGCCUAAUUUUUUUCCUUCGCUGUUUUUUUGUUUCGCAAGAUGUCGCUUAGAUUUUUGGAAUAUGAUAUCGAACAGUUUAUAUGCUUUUGAAACCAACUCUGCUUAACCGAAUACUUUCCCAAAUAAGAGUUAUCUCCCCGAACACUGUUUUUCUUGUUAUCUCUAAGGCUUCGCAACCGUAUAAGAAACCGACAAAUUUAUUUUUCCAAAUUGCUCGUUAUAUCCUCAGGAUGUUCUGUUUUAUUUUGACCGAAGCCGUAUAUAGAUUCCAUAUGAGAGUUAUCCCCCCUUUUAUGUUUGAUAUAAGAAUAUGCAUUUCUAACUGGUAAACCAUAAGUGAUAGAGACCUAGGGUCUUUUGAUUUGAGAUCCUUGGUCCAAAAAAAAUGAAAAAUAAGGUCAAGGUCAAAGGUCAAGGUCAUAUUAUAAAUUUUGAUUUUGGCUUAUUUUCACUUAUUUUCAAAAGCCGUAUAACUUAUCGACAAAUUAUUUUUUACUAAAUUGUUAGUUGCGACAUGUAACACGUAAAUUUUAGUCGAAAGAGUACGUAGACAUUUGAUGCCAGUUUUGCCCCCUUUUAUAUCUAAUAUUAGUUGUAAGGUAAUACAACUCAUUAACAAUAUAUAGUAGAGGCCUAGAGUCUUUUGAUUUGAGGUCCUUGGUUGAUGACCUCGAAAUUGAGCUCAAGGUCAUAGGUAAAUGUAACGUUCUAGAUUUUGACCUUUGCUUUUACCUCAUAUGUAUACAUGAUCAAGACAUGGGACUUUUUAAAUUAGGUUGCAAGCAAUGUGAUCUAGAAAAAGACAACCGGAAGUGACCUUUUGUAAACCGGAAGUAGCUAUAUUUUGUACUUAAUUAAUGAAAAAGUAUAUAGAACCAUAUAUUUUUGGAAUCAGUGUCAAGUAAAC
rnacentral:lncRNA from 1 species